GUAUGUCAAGUUGACAGUCAAGAUUAACCACCAUACCUUCCUAGAAACAUUCACUUUCUUUUGAGGUGAAGCUGCUUCUUGUUGAUCGGAUCUGGCCAGCUGUAUUACCCUGCGCAGGUCUCCAUCACAAUAUACCACACUCUGUCAGUUUCAUGGAGACAACAAAGCAGCAGGAGCCACUUGUGGCUGUGACAUCAGGAACUUGAAACUGUGAGCUCUCAUCUCCAGGCCAGGAAGCCCCACAGAGACCCACUUCCUCCAGCAAGAUCUGAUCCCUCAAGGUUCCACAGCCUCCCUGAAACAGCAGCACCACCUGAAGAGUGGGUGUUUAGACCUGGGAGUCACAUUAUAAUAGUCACAGGGACUGCACUGAGACAGGAGUGUCAUUAAUGCCAAACAACCUCAUCAUUUAGAAGGUCAGCACAAAAUCAGGUUGUCCCAGCUACAAGAGGAGGACAAGAAAAUAAAGAUCACCUAGUUCCUGACAAAGGAAGCAGUCACCCUUCCAGGCACCUCUUGAGAACCUUGUCACAUCCUUUACCAUUUAACAGCAGGAUAUUAUCCAAAGAUGCUACCCUCCUGCUCAGAUGACCUCAAGUACCCUGACUGAGAGUCACCCUGCUUGGAAUCCCUCUCCAUAGAAGGAAGCAGAAGCCAGAAGAGGACAUCAGAUGCCCUGGAACUGGAGCCACCCUGUGGUGCUACGAGCCAAACCUGGGUCCUCUCCAAAGGUA
rnacentral:lncRNA from 1 species